UUGUGGCUAUAUCACGUUGAAACACCAGUUCCUGUAUGAUCACUAAAGUUAAGCAAAAUUAGGCCUGGUCAGUACCUGGAUGGGUGGCUGCUUGGGAAUAGAAAGUGCAGUA